rnacentral:rRNA from 1 species
AUUGAACGCUGGCGGCAUGCCUAACACAUGCAAGUCGAGCGGAACGGCGGACGGGUGAGUAAUGCCUAGGAAUCUGCCUGGUAGUGGGGGAUCACGUCAGGAACCGGGCGCUAAUACCGCAUACUUUAAGAGCAGCCUAGGUCGUAUUAGCUAGUUGGUGAGGUAAAGGCUUACCAAGGCGACGAUCCGUAACUGAUCUGAGAGGAUGAUCAGUCACACUGGGACUGAGAAACGGUCCAGACUCCUACGGGAGGCGGCAGUGGGGAAGAUUGGGCAAUGGGCUCAAGCCUGAUGCAGCCAUGCCGCGUGAAUGAAGAAGGCUUUCGGGUUGUAAAGUACUUUCAGCGGAGAGGCGUUACCCGCAGAAAAAGCACCGGCUAACUCCGUGCCAGCCGCCGCGGUAAUUC